rnacentral:tRNA from 1 species
GGGGCUAUAGCUCAGCUGGGAGAGCGCUGCGUUCGCAAUGCAGAGGUCAGCGGUUCAAUCCCGCUUAGCUCCA